rnacentral:rRNA from 1 species
ACUAAAUAGAUACCCCGGUAGUCCCAGCCGUAAACGAUGCUCGCUAGGUGUCAGGCAUGGCGCGACCGUGUCUGGUGCCGCAGGGAAGCCGUGAAGCGAGCCACCUGGGAAGUACGGCCGCAAGGCUGAAACUUAAAGGAAUUGGCGGGGGAGCACAACAACGGGUGGAGCCUGCGGUUUAAUUGGACUCAACGCCGGACAACUCACCGGGGGCGACAGCAAUAUGUAGGCCAAGCUGAAGACUUUGCCUGAAUCGCUGAGAGGAGGUGCAUGGCCGUCGCCAGUUCGUACUGUGAAGCAUCCUGUUAAGUCAGGCAACGAGCGAGACCCGUGCCCACUGUUACCAGCAUGUCCUCCGGGACGAUGGGUACUCUGUGGGGACCGCCUAUGUUAAAUAGGAGGAAGGU